UCCAGGAUCCACUACUCUGUGGCAUCUCCACCAUGGCCUGGCUGUUCCUCCUGCUCCCCUUCCUCUCCCUCUGCACAGGUUCCGUGGCCUCCUAUAUACUGACUCAACCUCCCUCAGUAUCAGUGGCCCUAGGUCAAAAGGCCACAAUCACCUGCUCUGGAGAAAAACUUUCAGAUAAUUAUGUUCACUGGUACCAGCAGAAACCAGGCCAGGCCCCUGUGCUGGUCAUAUAUAAAGAUAAUAACCGUCCCUCUGGCAUCCCAGACCAAUUCUCUGGGUCCAGCUCAGGGAACACAGCCACCCUGACCAUCAGCAAAGUCCAGGCUGGAGAUGAAGCUGAUUAUUACUGUCAAAGAUGGGAUAGCACUGAUGAUGCUCACAAUAACACAGUCAGAUGA